UGAGGAAUAUUGGUCAAUGGACGAGAGUCUGAACCAGCCAAGUAGCGUGAAGGAUGAAGGUCCUACGGAUUGUAAACUUCUUUUAUAAGGGAAUAAACCCUCCCACGUGUGGGAGCUUGUAUGUACCUUAUGAAUAAGCAUCGGCUAACUCCGUGCCAGCAGCCGCGGUAAUACGGAGGAUGCGAGCGUUAUCCGGAUUUAUUGGGUUUAAAGGGAGCGCAGACGGGUCGUUAAGUCAGCUGUGAAAGUUUGGGGCUCAACCUUAAAAUUGCAGUUGAUACUGGCGUCCUUGAGUGCGGUUGAGGUGUGCGGAAUUCGUGGUGUAGCGGUGAAAUGCUUAGAUAUCACGAAGAACUCCGAUUGCGAAGGCAGCACACUAAUCCGUAACUGACGUUCAUGCUCGAAAGUGUGGGUAUCAAGCAGGAUUAGAUACCCUGGUAGUCCACACGGUAAACGAUGAAUACUCGCUGUUUGCGAUAUACAGUAAGCGGCCAAGCGAAAGCGUUAAGUAUUCCACCUGGGGAGUACGCCGGCAACGGUGAAACUCAAAGGAAUUGACGGGGGCCCGCACAAGCGGAGGAACAUGUGGUUUAAUUCGAUGAUACGCGAGGAACCUUACCCGGGCUUGAAUUGCAACUGAAUGAUGUGGAGACAUGUCAGCCGCAAGGCAGUUGUGAAGGUGCUGCAUGGUUGUCGUCAGCUCGUGCCGUGAGGUGUCGGCUUAAGUGCCAUAACGAGCGCAACCCUUAUCGAUAGUUACCAUCAGGUUAUGCUGGGGACUCUGUCGAGACUGCCGUCGUAAGAUGUGAGGAAGGUGGGGAUGACGUCAAAUCAGCACGGCCCUUACGUCCGGGGCUACACACGUGUUACAAUGGGGGGUACAGAAGGCAGCUACACGGCGACGUGAUGCUAAUCCCUAAAGCCUCUCUCAGUUCGGAUUGGAGUCUGCAACCCGACUCCAUGAAGCUGGAUUCGCUAGUAAUCGCGCAUCAGCCACGGCGCGGUGAAUACGUUCCC
rnacentral:rRNA from 1 species